UGAUCCUGGCUCAGAGCGAACGCUGGCGGCAGGCUUAACACAUGCAAGUCGAGCGGGCCCUUCGGGGUCAGCGGCGGACGGGUGAGUAACGCGUGGGAACGUGCCUUCUGGUUCGGAAUAACCCUGGGAAACUAGGGCUAAUACCGGAUACGCCCUUUUGGGGAAAGGUUUACUGCCGGAAGAUCGGCCCGCGUCUGAUUAGCUAGUUGGUGGGGUAACGGCCUACCAAGGCGACGAUCAGUAGCUGGUCUGAGAGGAUGAUCAGCCACACUGGGACUGAGACACGGCCCAGACUCCUACGGGAGGCAGCAGUGGGGAAUAUUGGACAAUGGGCGCAAGCCUGAUCCAGCCAUGCCGCGUGAGUGAUGAAGGCCUUAGGGUUGUAAAGCUCUUUUAUCCGGGACGAUAAUGACGGUACCGGAGGAAUAAGCCCCGGCUAACUUCGUGCCAGCAGCCGCGNUAAUA
rnacentral:rRNA from 1 species